UCUCCGUAGGUGAACCUGCGGAGGGAUCAUUACUGAGUGAGGGCCUUCGGGCUCGACCUCCAACCCUUUGUGAACCAAACUUGUUGCUUCGGGGGCGACCCUGCCGUUCCGACGGCGAGCGCCCCCGAAGGUCUCCAAACACUGCAUCUCUGCGUCGGAGUUUAACACAAAUGAAACAAAACUUUCAACAACGGAUCUCUUGGUUCUGGCAUCGAUGAAGAACGCAGC
rnacentral:misc_RNA from 1 species